rnacentral:sRNA from 1 species
GGCGGCCGAGAUACCGAGUAGAACCCAGGCGGCCAAUGCCGAGUCGUCGGCAUGCCCCAGUACAUUUGCUGCAUCAGGUUGGGUGCCUCGAUCUGCCAGGCAUGUUUAUAGCCAGAGACGGCACGAACAUGUGCCAGCCCCACCUCACCUUGUUAAAACUGAGGAGGCUGAUGCCGAUUCGGUAACUGUGCGCCCGAAAGGAGACGGAGAACUCACAACUGGGAAGAAGACCAAAGUGUGGGGGAUGAGAUUUGACCUCCAACCAGAUCACUGGCUUAUAGCAUAACCAGAUCGUGAUCGAUUACAACCACUCAAUUGGCAAGUGAACCUGAAAGUCAACAGCUUGUUGACUCACGACAUGAGUACCAUCACCAAUGUAUCCAAUUAUCCAUCGACAUGCACCACCUGGGUACGGAAGAGUACAUAAACCGGGUGUGGGCUAAGCGGUACAAGGAGUGGAAGUACGAGAUGCACUUGUACUACAACACUUGUGCAUUUCCUGUUGAUGUUUCUAUCGAUCACCCCCAGAGUUUGCAGAGAAGAUUGCCAAGUGGGAGUGGUUAUGUGGUCAUUUUCGGAGCCCGACAUUUUUGCUUCUAUGUUGCAAAAGAAGGACUAGUACCUCGCCUACCUCUCCCAACAAUGACUAGAUACGCCAAUGGAAGAGCUGACACUUGAUCUAGAUGUGUCUUUGCAGUUGUUGAUGGAUGGGGUUGGGCGAAGAAAAGGCAAAACGACCUAGGAGCGGGUUGGAUCGAGUUUGAGAUCUCUGAAGGUUCAUCUAGUAGUCUGACUAUGUGCAAGGUGUCUUCCAGACUACACUAGUUGGAGAUAGAGCUAACAAUCAUGUGCUAGCGAGGAUAAGAAGCUAGAGAAGAAGCACGCCAACGAGAAUAAGUUGUGCGCCAUCAAGAAGAAGCUCGGGAGGUAGUCAUGCACUAGCGAGAGGAGGGCCUUCUGCUUACAUUGCUGGGAUAGCCCAAACAAUGUCACCCUCUUACAUUUGCCUUCUUGAUCCUCUGAGCGACCUUCAGCCACCAUCCCACCAGCCACCCAGUAGUCGUAGUUAGUUUAGUAUUUUACAUAUAAUU